rnacentral:tRNA from 1 species
UCCCUGGUGGUCCAGUGGUUAAGACUCUGUGCUCCCAAUUCAGGGGACACAGGUUUGAUCCCUGAUCAAGGAA